CCUACGGGAGGCAGCAGUGGGGAAUAUUGGACAAUGGGCGCAAGCCUGAUCCAGCCAUGCCGCGUGUGUGAAGAAGGUCUUCGGAUUGUAAAUCACUUUAAGUUGGGAGGAAGGGCAGUAAGUUAAUACCAUGCUGUUUGACGUUACCGUCAGAAUAAGCACCG
rnacentral:rRNA from 1 species